CUGUCGUCAGCUCGUGUCGUGAGAUGUUGGGUUAAGUCCCGCAACGAGCGCAACCCCUAUCGUAUGUUGCCAGCAUUUAGUUGGGCACUCAUGCGAGACCGCCGGUGUCAAGCCGGAGGAAGGUGGGGACGACGUCAAGUCAUCAUGGCCCUUACGUGUAGGGCUUGAAACGUGCUACAAUGGCAGUGACAAUGGGCCGCAAAUUCGCAAGGAUGAGCUAAUCCCCAAAAGCUGUCUCAGUUCAGAUUGUCCUCUGCAACUCGAGGGCAUGAAGUUGGAAUCGCUAGUAAUCGUGGAUCAGCAUGCCACGGUGAAUACGUUCCCGGGUCUUGUACACACCGCCCGUCACACCAUGGGAGUUGGUUCUACCUGAAGGCGCUGCGCUAACCGCAAGGGGGCAGGCGACCACGGUAGGGUCA
rnacentral:rRNA from 1 species